rnacentral:rRNA from 1 species
UACGUAGGGUGCUAGCGUUGUUCGGAAUCAUUGGGCGUAAAGCGCGUGUAGGUGGUCAGUAAAGUUGGGGGUGAAAGCCCGGGGCUCAACCUCGGAAUUGCCUUCAAUACUGGCUGUCUUGAGUGUGAGAGAGGUGUGUGGAACUCCGAGUGUAGAGGUGAAAUUCGUAGAUAUUCGGAAGAACACCAGUGGCGAAGGCGACACACUGGCUCACUACUGACGCUGAGGCGCGAAAGCGUGGGGAGCAAACAGG